AUGAAAGAAAUCUUCCGCCUCCACGACUUGCCACUGGCUAUCAUAUCAGACCGGGAUCAUAUAUUUACAGGGCAUGUGUGGCAGGAACUGUUCAAGCUCUGCCGAACGAACCCGCGUCUCAGUUCGUCAUACCACCCCCAGACGGACGGGCAGACCGAACGCGUCAAUCAGUGCCUGGAAGGGUAUCUCGGGUGCGCAGUCCACUCCUGCCCUGGCAACUGGUCCAAAUGGCUGCCUCUCGCAGAAUACUGGUACAAUACGUCCUUUCAUUCGGCUCUGGGUAAGACUCCGUUCGAGGUCAUCUACGACCACCUUCCCCGAGAAUUUGGCAUCGCGCAGAUAGGCGAGUGUGCAGUCCCUGAUCUUGCAGCAUGGCUCCAGGAAAGAGAGGUGAUGUUAGAACACUUGCGGCAGCAGCUCAAGCAUGCGCAGGACCGCAUGAAGGUUCAGGCCAAUCGACACCGUACAGACAAAGAGUUCGCCACUGGUGAUGCAGUGCUGCUCAAGCUUCAGCCGUUUAUCCAGUCCUCGGUGGCGCAACGACCGCACCAAAAACUGGCUUUCCGCUACUAUGGGCCAUACAGGGUAUUGGCUCGCGUCGGGGCAGUGGCGUACAAGCUGCAACUGCCUGCCUCCAGCCGCAUCCACCCAGUGGUGCAUGUGUCGCAAGCGAAGAAGGCGUUUGGGGCUACGGUGCCGGUGAGUGCUGACCUUCCUCCCGGUAACUCGAUUUUGCAGGCAGAACAUGUUCCGGAGCUGGUGCUGGACCGCAAGAUGAUGCGCAUUGCCGGUGACAUCCGUCCUCGCAUCCGGGUGCAAUGGAGCCACCUUCCCCGUCGCUGUCGACAUGGGAAGAUCCAGUGGCGUUGCAGCAGCGCUUCCCCUCUACGCCGCCUUGGGGGCAAGUCGGCACACAAGCAGGGGGGAAUGUCACGACUGUCAUGGCGUCCCCACCGGCCACGACGGCCCCACUGGACAGCGGAACCACUGAGCCACGGCCAGACGAGGUGGACGAGGUCAAGGCGCGCUGGAAAGGGGAGGCCAGUGGGCCCGCAUAGUCAGAGCGCGUUGUGUGGGUGUGUGGCCUGCGUGCCGUGGGUAUUACUUGGCGUGGAGAGUGGGUGA
rnacentral:rRNA from 1 species